GUUAAGUUUGAGAGGUAACCAAUUGCUGUUUCUCAUAUCAAUGUUUCUCUCUCCCUUUCUAAAAUCAAUAAACAUAUCCCUGGGUGAGGAUUUUUUAAAAACAACUUGAAAAUUGAAUAACACCAGAAGAUGGCAAUCUGCUCCACAUCCUGAGCAAGUGAAAUGGGGAAGCUGGACUCACCCAUUCACGGUCAUGUGAUUCUCCUGCAGAUGAACCACUGUCGGUUGUUUUUCUUUUCCUCUUACCCUGUCCCAUAGCUCUUUGCUUUUCUUGUUUGUUGCCCUUAUCACAUGUUUUUAUUUUAGAAUAUGUAGUAUUUACCUUCAUUUUCUCUUAUUUCUAUUGUCCUCAUCCUUGUUUGCUCUUCCUUCUACCUCCAGAAGAGGUAGAGAACCUACUUCCUUUUUUCCAAGACCUUUUUUCCAAGUGAUUGAUCCACUUUCCUCCCUCAGGCUCCUUCCUGAGAGUCUUCUAGAAGGGAGAAGAGGGAAAAGAAACGUUUCUGGUGGAGACAAACAAGGAGCUCCCAGGUAACCAGCUCGCCACCCCCUCCGUUAAUGAUUUCUCAAAGAAAAAUUUCCAGAAUCUCCUCUUCCUUAGUAAGUGAGAGAGUGCAUGCACAUGUAUCCAUAUAUGCCAUUUGGAAUACAGGAUGGCGCUUUUUACCAUGUCCCUCCUGUCCAAAGCUUAAUCUUUUGAAGAAGGGUGUCUGAAAGAGAGGAACUCUGAGUCAUUCCUCAAACAACAAAUGCCCAUGUGAACGUCUUCCUUAUCUGGUGAAGAAAACAAUUUUGUGCAUCUUAUGGAUCACCUUCAGGUCAAAGUUCCAGUGGAGGGAAGAGAGAAACUACUGGAAGUCACCAAGCAAUGCACUUAAUAGUUACCAGUGAAGAGCCCAAGGGAGGAUAAUGGAGAGGGGGAUUGGGUCAAGGGUAAAUUCUUGCUUAAAGUGUUUAUGUUACUCUUACGUUGAAUUAACAGUUGUAAUAGCUGACAUUUGUUUACUUAUCCACUAAAAUCAGGUGUUUUGAAUGCAUUAUAAUCCUCAAAACAACCAUAUGACUUGAGUAAUAAUAUCCCUGUUGUAGAGAUGGGGAAACAGCUCAGAAAAACUCAGUAAUUGGUUUGAGAUCACAUAGCUACUAAAUGGCAGAGCUUGGAUUUUGAACCCAGGAAGUCUCUAGGUAGGGGAUGGCUAUAAAUGCAGCCCAACACAAAAUCGUAAAUUUACUUAAACCCUUUCUUUUUUUCUCAUCAGUUUGCUUUAGUGUUUGUGUGUUUAGUGUGUGGCCCAAUAGAACUCUUCUUCCAGUGUGACCCAAAGAUGGCAAAAGGUUGAACACUCCUGCUAGAGCCUCUGCAUAACCAUGAUAUUGUAUUUUUUUCCUUUAAAACAAAAUUAGCCCUGGCUUAUAUGGUUCACUUGUUUGGAGCAUCAUUUCCAUGCACUGAAAGGUCGCAGAUUAAAUUCUCAGGGCAUAUACCUGUGUUGCAGGUUCAGUCCCUUGUCAGGGUGGGUAUGGGAGGCAAUCGAUGGAUAUUUCUCUCCCAUUGAUGUUUCCUUCUCUCUUCUUCCCACCCCCCUAUACGCACACACACAUGCACAUAUCCCUUCCUCUCUCUAAAAUUAAUGAGUGUAUCCAUCCUCAGGUGAGGAUUAAAAAAAUAAAACAAAAACCUUGCCAUAUAUCCUCUCUAAUUAAGCGGGAUUGGGUGGGGGACAGUUUCUAAUUGUGUUCUACCUUCCCAUCCUCCCAGUCUCCUGAACUAGCUUGGAGAAAGGAAAGCACUGGGGGGUCCCAAGCUUCAGCUCCUCCUAGGAGCUGCUGCUACCUCCUGUACCAAUGUCCCACUUCUUCAGGAUCAGCAAGGGACUAACCCACCUGCCUGCUAGAGAACUUGCAACCCAUUGGAACCCAUACAGUCAGAUUUCCCUGGUCCUUAGCCAGCCCUUUAUGCCUGAUGGUGUGCCACUUGCCUUAACACUGUCCCCACUAGCCUUGUUGCCUAAAAUUUCCUGCUACAAGGAUCCCUGACGAAGACAAUUGCUGGAUGCUCUGUGCUUGGGCCCUCUGAAAGCCCUGGUAUUAGUGGAUAAAUAUAAGCUGGUUGGGGGCAGGGAACCAGGGAUAAUCCAUUCUCUGGAAGAAGUACUAUGGCUCAAUUAUGCCCCCUCUCACAGCUUUAUAGUCUCAACACAUGAGUCUCCUGGUUCUUUCCCUAUAGAGAUGCCCCAGGACCUGGAGGUAAACUGAUAGCCUAAGCUGACUUGGGGAAACAGUAGGAGUGUUAGGUAUUGUGGAGAGGACUGUUCUCUACAGGCUGAUAAUUAUGAAUGGGAGCUGUGAACUGGAAAGUGCCAUAAGGUAACUAUUAGCAUGAUCAGGGGCUUGGAUCCUUGAAGCAACACAGUAGGUACACUGUUGCCCCUUCCUGUCAUCCACAUGUCAGAUGUCAGAUAGCCUUCCUUGUUCUUUGUUUUUCUUUGAGUCUACCUGAUCAUUUCUCUUCAUAAUAAGCCCUAAUUUCUCAAUUUUCCAAUCUUAACUUCCACAUGCCUUGCUUCUAACUCCUGUCUCGGGAGCUCUUCCGGGUCCUUCCAAUGCACAGGUCACAGAAUCAGACCUAGAAAAAGACUUACCUUUAGAGGUCCAGGCUCCUGUACAGAUGGGGAUGUAGAUCCAGAGAUGAGAAGGGUCAGAGAAUUUUCUUUAGUACAGCUCAAGACAGGGCUUAAACCCAGGCCUCCUAACCACAUCUCAUCUCCAGGCUAUGAAACAGGCCUCUGCAAGACCCACUUUUUAUGGCAAGGGAUAUAACAUCAAAAAUGUUUGAUUUUCUGCUACUACUUUCUAUCCCUUUCCUUAUCUAGGCAUAAGAAGAAAUGAAAGAGACUUAUUUUUUUCUCUGUUCCCAGCCUUGGCACUUCUUUUGGUAAUAUUGCUAAAGAAAAGUAAAGUUGCUAAAAUGAUUGAAUAGUCCACCCAUUGAAUAGCUAACCUGGCUAGGAAAGUUUGCUAUGUGAAACCCCUGCAAACCACUGUUAUCAGGCCAUCCCAGAGCCUCCCCAGGCUCUUCAUAAUGCAGCCCUAUUCACUGGGCCCCAAACACACCAGUAUUGUGCCUCACUGCUGGCCGCUGCUUGCACCAGCCUUCCCUUCUGGAUAAAAGACCUCAUGUUUUAAAUAAAGUGGAAAUGUAAAAAGAA